rnacentral:rRNA from 1 species
AUUGAACGCUGGCGGCAGGCUUAACACAUGCAAGUCGAGCGGGGGAAGGUAGCUUGCUACCGGACCUAGCGGCGGACGGGUGAGUAAUGCUUAGGAAUCUGCCUAUUAGUGGGGGACAACAUCUCGAAAGGGAUGCUAAUACCGCAUACGUCCUACGGGAGAAAGCAGGGGAUCUUCGGACCUUGCGCUAAUAGAUGAGCCUAAGUCGGAGUAGCUAGUUGGUGGGGUAAAGGCCUACCAAGGCGACGAUCUGUAGCGGGACUGAGAGGAUGAUCCGCCACACUGUGACUGAGACACGGCCCAGACUCCUACGGGAGGCAGCAGUGGGGAAUAUUGGACAAUGGUGGGAACCCUGAUCCAGCCAUGCCGCGUGUGUGAAGAAGGCCUUAUGGUUGUAAAGCACUUUAAGCGAGGAGGAGGCUACUUUAGUUAAUACCUAGAGAUAGUGGACGUUACUCGCAGAAUAAGCACCGGCUAACUCUGUGCCAGCCGCCGCGGUAA